rnacentral:tRNA from 1 species
GGGAGCGUAACUCAGAUCGUAGAGCGCUCGCUUAGCAUGCGAGAGGUACGGGGAUCGAUACCUCGUGCCUCCA